GUUAUUCCAGCUUUAAAUGAGAGUGGUCUGUGAAUGUGUUGUUGUUGCUAAUUGUGGAAUAUCAACAACGAAUUAUGGGUGUUCUCUGAACUUCAACUUCACAAUUGCUUCACAAGAGAAAAAGUAGAAAGAAAUUGUGAUUAUUUGUCGCGAAAAUAUAAAGUAUAACUGGUAUAUUGGCACUUACUCUUCCAAACAACAGGAUAAAUUUGAACUGAAAUUUUGAAUUCAGUCGCGUACUGGCACGGUAGUAGAAUUUUUGAGCGAUGGAGUGAAUUACCAAGGUCAUAAUUCAUACAUACACUGAUUGGUUGUAAUAGAUAAAUACAUUCCAUACAUUAUAUACAUAUAUACAGUCAUGUUGUUGACAGGACACGUCGUAAACCCUAACAUCCCAGGGAGAGUGGGGCCCAAAUUCUUUCCACCUUCUCCAGCAUUUACACCAAAAUCCAGCCUUGGUUUUUCCUUCAGGUAAUCGAUGAGUAGUUCUUAGAAAAUGAGUUUGCAACUUUGCAUUAACUUUACUGUAUAUAUGAUUUAUUGAUUUUAAAGCUUAAUGGGGAUAUAUGAUAAAGCAAUACUCAUGCAGUGCUCUGACCAGUGGCUCAGAAAUGGUCAGAGCGCUGCCCGGAAUCGCUGCACAGAUUCGAUACCUGCAGCCGAAGGGCCUAUGGUUUAUUUUUCAUAGCUGCUCCCAGCCAGGUCUAAAAUAUGUACCGGGUAUACAAUUUUCGCUCUAAAUUUCCAUCAAGAAAACCCUUGAGCAAUAUAUAGUUCAUAAAUAUUGAGAUGCUGCAUGGGUUUGGUGGAUAAUACAAGUGCAUGCAGAGCAUAUAUAUACACAAUUUAAGACCUAACCAGGAACGGUUGCGAAAAAUGCAACACUAGGUCCUUUGGCAGGAAUCGAACCUGAGACUCCAGUGCAGCGCUCUAACCAACUGAGUUACAGAGGUCAGUUGUCGAGCUGUAACCGCAAGUUCAGGUAUAUAUACAGGGUGUAUCAAAAAAAGCGCAAUCCUCGACUGAAAUGUAAAUUGCUAAACAAAUAAUAGACGAAAACGUUAAA